UACGUAGGAGACGAGCGUUGUCCGGAGUUACUGGGCGUAAAGGGUGCGCAGGCGGCCUGGCGCGUCGCGAGUGAAAUCUCCUGGCUCAACUGGGAGGUGGUCGCGAGACGGCUGGCUUGAGGCUCGGUGAGGGGCGUGGAAUUCCGGGUGGAGCGGUGAAAUGCGUAGAGAUCCGGAGGAACACCGACGGCGUAGGCAGCGCCCUAGACGAGACCUGACGCUCAGGCACGAAAGCGCGGGGAGCGAACAGG
rnacentral:rRNA from 1 species